CAUGAUAUUUUACCUUAUUAACAAACUGUGAACUUUAUAUACUAUUCGUGUUGUUUGUAAUUUAAUUACAAUCUAACACUGUCAUUCGAUGAACAUUAGAUAGCUGGCUUGUAUUUUUUUAAAUAUUUUCUCAGCUUGAUUUGUUUUUUUUGACUAAACAUCAUAAAACAAUCAACCAAACAUAGAAA
rnacentral:misc_RNA from 1 species